AGAGUUUGAUCCUGGCUCAGGAUUAACGCUGGCGGCAUGCCUAAUACAUGCAAGUCGAACGAAAAAUAUAGAAGUGCUUGCACAUUUAUAUUUUUAGUGGCGAACGGGUGAGUAAUAUAUAGAUAACCUGCCUUAAAGUUGGGGAUAACAGAGGGAAACCUCUGCUAAUACCGAAUACGAUAACUAGACGCAUGUUUAGUUAUUAAAAGGGGCUCCAAAGCCCCGCUCUAAGAGGGGUCUAUAUCGCAUUAGCUAGUUGGUAAGAUAACAGCCUACCAAGGCGAUGAUGCGUAGCUGUACUGAGAGGUAGAACAGCCACAUUGGGACUGAGAUACGGCCCAAACUCCUACGGGAGGCAGCAGUAGGGAAUUUUCGGCAAUGGGGGGAACCCUGACCGAGCAAUGCCGCGUGAUUGAAGAAGAUCUUCGGAUCGUAAAGAUCUGUUAUUAGGGAAGAAUGGAAUUGAUAGGAAAUGAUCAAUUUAUGACGGUGCCUAAUGAGGAAGCCCCGGCUAACUAUGUGCCAGCAGCCGCGGUAAUACAUAGGGGGCGAGCGUUAUCCGGAAUUAUUGGGCAUAAAGGGUGCGUAGGCGGUAUGUUAAGUUUAAGGUAUAAGCUCAUGGCUUAACCAUGGGAGGCUUUAGAAACUGGCAUACUAGAGUGCAGUAGAGGCAAGUGGAAUUCCAUGUGUAGCGGUAAAAAGCGUAAAAUAUAUAGAGGAACACCAGUGGGCAAAGGGGGCUUGCUGGGCUGUAACUGACGCUGAGGCACGAAAGCGUGGGGAGCAAACAGGAUUAGAUACCCUGGUAGUCCACGCCGUAAACGAUGAGUACUAAGUGUCGGGGGAACCUCGGUGCUGUAGCAAAUGUAUUAAGUACUCCGCCCGAGUAGUACGUGCGCAAGCAUGAAACUCAAAGGAAUUGACGGGACCCUGCACAAGCGGUGGAUCAUGUUGUUUAAUUCGAGGAUACGCGAAGAACCUUACCAGGCCUCGACAUCCUCUGCGAAGCUAUGGAGACAUAGUGGAGGUUAACAGAGAGACAGGUGGUGCAUGGUUGUCGUCAGCUCGUGUCGUGAGAUGUUCGGUUAAGUCCGGUAACGAGCGCAACCCCUAUUGCUAGUUGCCAUCAUUAAGUUGGGGACUCUAGCGAGACUGCCAGUGACAAACUGGAGGAAGGCGGGGAGGACGUCAAAUCAUCAUGCCCCCUAUGGCCUGGGCUACAAACGUGAUACAAUGGCUGGAACAAAGAGAAGCGAAAGGGCGACCUUUAGCGGACCUCAUAAAAACAGUCUCAGUUCGGAUUGGAGUCUGCAACUCGACUCCACGAAGUCGGAAUCGCUAGUAAUCGUAGGUCAGCAUACUACGGUGAAAAAGUUCUCGGG
rnacentral:rRNA from 1 species